UGUAAGCGUAUACCAAAGUUGUUGCAGUUAAAACACUCGUAGUCGGAACUUGGCCGUUCCGGAUGUGUGCACGUCGUGUGCGCACUUUGCGGGGACGGCUUUUGUGGUCUUGCGUAGGAUGAGGCACUUUUAUUAGUGAACGUCCUCACGCAACCACUCUUUACUGUGAGAAAAUCAGAGUGCUCAAAGCAGGCAUUUGCCGUGAAUGUAUUAGCAUGGAAUAAUAGAAUAGGACUCGGUUCUAUUUUGUUGGUUUGUUGGGACUGAGUAAUGAUUAAGAGGGACAGUUGGGGGCAUUUGUAUUUCGGCGCUAGAGGUGAAAUUCUUAGAUUGCCGAAAGACAAACUGCUGCGAAAGCGUCUGCCAAGGAUGUUUUCAUUGA
rnacentral:rRNA from 1 species